UUCUUUUUUUGGUUAUAUGUCUUAUUCUUCUUCUAUUACUUUUGCUUUCUUUUAUCUUCCACAGUUCCACUGCUAUUACUUCUUCCCUCCAAUCUUUUAAAAAGAUCUUUGGACCUUUGUUUGGCCUUUUUUUCUUUGUUUGCUUAAAACCAUGUUUUUUUAAGAAACAUGAAUAAGAAAACUUCAUACAAGAAUGAUUAAUGAUGGAAAUUGUUGUUUUUCAUGCAAAUUGUGUGUUUUGCUAUGACAGAGUUUAAAUUAUCUGCUAUACCUGUUUUCUCUUCUCUUCCUUAGCAAGUGUUUAUUGGCCUUUUAGCUUCUUCUGUUUCCCUUUUGUGGAUCUUUAUAUAUCCCCUGAUAUUUCAUAAGUACAUCUAAGAUUCACUGUUGAAAGUGAAACGCCUAAUGAUCAAACUGAAAUACUGGCCUUUAUGUUUCUGUUGUUUAUUUUAUUGCGAGUUUAGCUCUCACCUUUUAUUCUUUACAGAGAUCUAUCUGUGAUGAACAUUUAGUGCUAUUUACGUGAUACAGUUUUUGUUGAAUCAACCCAACAAAACUAGCCCUUUUCUUGUUCUACUGCAGGGAACUCGAGAAAACUAAUUCAAGCUAUUACAUGGCAUCGGUCCACUUCCUCGUCUAAGCCUUCAUCAUGCAAGAGUGUUGUGGCAUCCAGUUCUAAAAGUUCAUCAACUUGGACAGAAUAUAAGAAUGAUUUGUUUGAUGAAUAUGGCGGAAUGGAUGCAGGAAGCCAUUCACUAACACUUGGGAGGUUGUAUGCUUGGGAAAAGAAGCUCUAUGAAGAAAUCAAGGUAAAUUAAAUCACUGUAAAAUGUCUUUCUAAUCUUCAUAGUUUAUUUAUUUUUUAUGAGACUACUACCUUAGCAACUUCUUGGAUCAUUAAACGAGACUAACCAACAUGAAGUUGAGCAUCAAAUGAGUAGAAGUGGGAGAGUGAAGAUUAUAUAGGAAAAAAUUGAUAUUUUCCAGGCCUGUAAAUGUGGGCGACUAAGUAUACUAAUUUACAUGGUAAGUUUGACAGUCUAAUGAUCUUUAUUUCAGAUUGGUUGAAUACACAACAAUAUUUUAAGUGACUUAUCAAUACAGUGUUUUCUCGGUAUCAAUGAAGGCAUGGCUUUGCGGAGGAAAAAGUCAUGUUGUGGUAUCGAUAUGCAAUUCUGCAUAAUUAACUUGUGCUGGCACUUCAAGUACCAAUGUUAGGAAUCUAACUAGGAGCAUAAACGGUCUUUAUAGAAUCAAUGGUUGCAACAAAGAGAGAAGAACUGCCCAAAGGCUCAGCACCGAGUCAAUAAGUGAAACUCUCCGUAUUAUCUGGGACAAAGCAGUGAAAUUCAUGUGAAUGCCAACUCUGUAAU
rnacentral:misc_RNA from 1 species